rnacentral:rRNA from 1 species
UACGAAGGGGGCUAGCGUUGUUCGGAAUUACUGGGCGUAAAGGGCUCGUAGGCGGCCAACUAAGUCAGACGUGAAAUCCCUCAGCUUAACUGGGGAACUGCGUCUGAUACUGGAUGGCUUGGAUUCGGGAGAGGAAUGCGGAAUUCCAGGUGUAGCGGUGAAAUGCGUAGAUAUCUGGAGGAACACCGGUGGCGAAGGCGGCAUUCUGGACCGAUAUUGACGCUGAGGAGCGAAAGCCAGGGGAGCAAACGGG